CCUGAUGCAGCAACGCCGCGUGAGGGAUGACGGCCUUCGGGUUGUAAACCUCUUUUAGUAGGGAAGAAGCGAAAGUGACGGUACCUGCAGAAAAAGCACCGGCUAACUACGUGCCAGCAGCCGCGGUAAUACGUAGGGUGCAAGCGUUGUCCGGAAUUAUUGGGCGUAAAGAGCUCGUAGGCGGUUUGUCGCGUCUGCUGUGAAAUCUGGGGGCUCAACCCCCAGCCUGCAGUGGGUACGGGCAGACUAGAGUGCGGUAGGGGAGAUUGGAAUUCCUGGUGUAGCGGUGGAAUGCGCAGAUAUCAGGAGGAACACCGAUGGCGAAGGCAGAUCUCUGGGCCGUAACUGACGCUGAGGAGCGAAAGCAUGGGGAGCGAACAGGAUUAGAUACCCUGGUAGUCCAUGCCGUAAACGUUGGGAACUAGAUGUGGGGGCCAUUCCACGGUCUCCGUGUCGCAGCUAACGCAUUAAGUUCCCCGCCUGGGGAGUACGGCCGCAAGGCUAAAACUCAAAGGAAUUGACGGGGGCCCGCACAAGCGGCGGAGCAUGCGGAUUAAUUCGAUGCAACGCGAAGAACCUUACCAAGGCUUGACAUAUACCGGAAACGUCCAGAGAUGGUCGCCCCGCAAGGUCG
rnacentral:rRNA from 3 species